CUGACUACCACCGGAGCUGCACAAAAUGUCCGUAUGAUCUAUGCAUCGCUUGUUGUCGGGACUUCCGUGCUGGCUCUUUGCAUGCAGGUCAUAUGAGAAGCAUUAACCAAUAUAAAAACCUCAGGGUGGGCUAUUUACAUGGUGAAACAUGUAAACUUUGUAGCAAUAGAACUGUGGGCACAUCUACUGAAACAUCCCCUGAAGGCAAGACCUGAAUGGAGACCUAACAAGGAUGGUAGCAUCUCUUGUCCACCUAAGAGUAUUGGUGGGUGUGGUGGUAAAGGGAUUCUAAAGCUGAACCAAGUCUUGCCAGACAGUUGACUUUCAAACAAGAUAUUGAAAGCUGAAGACUUGUAUGAACUGUAUAAUCUGGAUGGCAUGCCAGAAGAUCCCAUACACUGGUGCUCGUGUUAUAAUUUGGCACGUGAUAACACGGCCACAAAGAAAAUAAGGAAAGCCACUUCUCGAGAAAACUCUGAUGACAACACUUCUACUCUCCAAGUUCUAUAGACAUUCAAGCUGGGGAUCAGAAGCAUUUUCAGACCCAUUGGUCAAAAGGGGAACCAGUGAUUGUUACUAGUGUGCUUGACAGUACAUAUGGUUAAGCUGCGAACCAAUGGUGAUGUCUCGAGCAAUCCAUGAUAAGUCCCACACCGAUGUGACUUUCUUAAAUUGUUUGAGCUGGUGCGAAGUAAGUUUUUUUCUUACUUUUAUAGUAUAUACAGUUUAUUCCGUCUUAUUUAACAAAAAACAUUUACCUCUGGAAUUAUAAUGUAUUCUGUAUAACUGAAUCCACUGUUUUCCAAGUGCAUAUAUAGUAGUACUAGCAAGUAAAACUGUUCCAAAUUAGUAAAGGGUUUAUGUGAGUACUUGUUUAACAGACUGCAAUCAAAUGUUUAGCUAUAAUAAUUAUGAAAUCCAGUUAUUAAUCAUACAACUAAGUUAAGUAUUAAAUAUUAUUUUUCUUGCAGGAGGAAUAUAGCCCAAGUUCGUUCUUUAAAGGCUAUACAGAGGGUAUACUUGACUUGUCUGGCUGGCCCCAAAUGCUCAAGUUAAAUGAUUGGCCUCAAUCUGGUUCGUGUGAGGAUCAUCUCCCACGUCAUAAUGUGGAGUUCUUAAGUGCUUUGCUGUUCAAGGAGUACACACAUCCACAGAGCGCCUACUUGAACCUUGCUGUCAAGUUACCCGAGGCCAAUCUGAAGCCAGACACAGGGCCAAAGCUGUAUACGCUUAGAUAAUGCACAAACCACGCCUCUUGGCAGUAGUAUGUGUAGUUUGAUUUUUAACUUACAAUAGAAUUAAAAAAUAGCUUUUGAUUUCUAUAUUUGCACAUUUUUGGAGCUGAAAGAUUCAUACAUACUCCCUCUGUCCCUCUCAUUUCUUUACACUUUUUUUACAUUGUUCGAUACGCAUUUUAAGGCGUAUAUAAAUAUAGUUUCAUAACUUUUUUCCAAAAUUUUUCUUUUUUGUAUAAAAAUUUAGAUAGUAAACAUUUUUUCAGAAGAAAAGAAUUCAAAAUAAUUUGUCAAGCUAUAUUUUAUAAGAGCAUUGAAUGCGUGCCGAGCCCCCGUCCCCCAAUGUAAACAAUUGAGGGCGAUGGAGGGAGUAAUAGCUUUCCUCAGUUGUUUAAACAUAUACUUGCUUCUAUCAGGCAAUGGCUACCAGACUCUGUACUUUUUGUAAUUGGAAUCUUGUUUCUGUGAGUUUGGCUUGAUUUUAACUUAUGUUAUGGCCUCUAUUUCUUGGUUUGUUUGGACUUUGGAUGCAAUAUCUCUUACCUAAUUUCCUGUCCAGUAAAAUGCUGGAGACUAUUAUCCUUAGAAAUAGUAACAAAUUUCCCGAAGCAUGCAUCAGCCUGUCAAUCCUUGUUACUAAUUUUGCCUUUUGAAUCCUAAUUCUGACCUGCAGGUUGGUUAUGAAAUGAUAUUGUAAGAUAAUUGUUAAGUUAACUGACAGAGUAUCCUUCCCAAGUUAGUCAUAAGCUAAAACAACUUGUGCCAGAUGUGUCGUAUGAAUUCAACUGGCUUGGAUUAUGAUUUUACCAUCUGAGCACUUUUGAUCAAAAUGUGCAUUACAUUGUAGGAAUAUUUUCUUUACAUAAAUCUGACACUGAGGGAAAUGAGCUGCCUCAUCUGGUUUAUGUUUCUCGUGAAAAGAGGCCUGGAUUCGAACACCACAAAAAAGCUGGUGCUAUGAAUCCUCUUGUAAGUUUAUUACCCACUACAUUAAUGCAUUUUCUGUCUUCAUCUUGUUUGAAGUUUGAGUAAGUUUUAAAGUGUAUGUUAGUAUAUAUUUUAUUUUCCCUUGUUGACGCGUAUCAUGUGGUCUUCUAGAUUCGAGUCAUCUCUAAUGCUCCAUUUUAUUUAUACUCUAAUUUACUUCAUGUUAUUCAAAAAAAUUUCUUCAUUUGAUAUGCUUGGGUAGCAGUGUAGUAUUGUCGAUGUGCGUAAAAAUGUGGUUUUGGUUUGGUUUUGGUUCUUAUAAAAUGGAUUUGGUUUGUUUUGGUUUGGUUUUGGUUCUUAUAAAAUGGAUUUGGUUUGGAUAGAUUAACCAAAACCAUUUCCAAACUAUAUAUUAAUAAAUGUGGUUAUGGUUUUAGUUUGAAUUAUGGAUAACUAGUUUAGUAAGUAAAAAUAAGUAUUAUAUAAUGAACAAAAGUUAAUACACUCAAAUCACAAUAUAAUGAAUACUAUAUAUAACAAAAGUGUGUGUGAGUGUGUGAGUUGAUGGAGUGGUUUAAGCUCUUGGCUUCUCCAAGUAAGGUCAUGAGUUCGAAUCAUCGGAUGGGCAUGUGUGAUAAUUAGCAAAAAGAAAGAAAGAAAAGAAAAGGAACAUAAUAGUGUGUGUGGAGAGUUAUAAGAAAUCUUAAAAGUGAGACCAAAUGUGGUUAGAACCAUAUUUUGUGAGAAAUGUGAGACUAGAAACCAAACCAAAUCCAUUUUUCUAAAUGUGAUUUCAAAUGGAUCCAAAUUCACAAUUUUGGUUUGGUUUGGAUUGGUUUAAUGGUUUUGCAUCCAUAUUGCCACCUCUAUGCGUAAUUAAUAUCAUGUUAAAGCUAGCUAGCUGUGCAGGCUCUUAUUAUCUAGCUUUUGCGAUUCUUUUGGGUGUAUGUAUAUAUGUCCUUUUGGAGGUGAUGAAUUGUUCUGUAUAUAUGCAACUAUUGCCACAGUCAUCACCGUUGUGGAAAUGAAUUUCUUAAAAACAGUGGCUUUUCGGUGGAAAAAAGUAAGGCUGUUCUACUGUAUAUGUCAUGUUUGGCAAUAACGAUAUUGCAUGAUAUUCAGUAAUUUAAUUGUUAAUGCUGCAGAGAUUCUGACAUACACUGUUGACAUUAAGGAUGAAAACAGGCCAUGCCCGUUCAGAUGAAAUCAGGCUGCGCCCAGCAGCUACAUGAUCAGAAUGAUAUCUAUAUUACAUUCUCAAAGAUAUCUAUAUUAUCUUAUAAUUUCUACGUUGGGAAUGGUAAAGUUCUUCAUUUCACUAGAGGUGGUCAAGAAGUGGGCACUGGAACUGUAUUAGACCUCCUUUUGGUAAUCUCAGCACCAACCCGCUCUAACCUUCCCUGUGACUGCAAGCCAAUGAGGUAUGUUAAAACAGGGAUCCAAUGCAUCAGGAUGAGGUAUGUUCAAUCAUAUGUUCAAUCUUUGUUGAAGUUAAUAUAAAUAUCAGUGCACCUAUUCAAUAAUGAUUUUGAAGCUCUGCAGAGACUUGGCAAACCUAGAGGAGGCUAUUUUGUAACUAAAACCUUUGAUUCGCACUAGUUCGUAUAACUUUUGUCUGUGUAGACUCAAAUGAUGUAAACAGGUGUUACAUCUAAUAUUGCCUUGAGAAUUUAUACCCUGCCAAGCAAAUGUUAAGAAUAUCCUUCUUUGCCGAUAUAAAUCAACCUUGGUAUGUGAUAUUGGCUUGAUUAGGUUGUGCAAAUAAUCUGAUUGACUUCUUUGUCUUGCUUUUUCUCUCUCUUUACUUUUGAAAAAAAACAUUUACUGAAAGAAACUUUCUUUAAUUUAUAGUAGAGACUUGGUUUUAUUAUAGUUUCUAUAGCACACAAAACUUACCUAGCACUUUUUGGAUUUUCAUAAAUGAUUCAUAUUGGUCCUGAUUCCUGAAGCUCCAAGGAAUUGUCUGAUGGAAGCGAGGUUCUUGAAAUUUAUGGCUAGAGCAACUACAUGGCUUUGUUUGGCAGCUUUGACUUAAUUGUUGAUGGUCGUUCAUUCAACAAUCUGCUUUAGUACAAGCAGAUUGUUUAAUAUAAGGGAAACGUUAAGAUGGUUUUGGUUGAAUAUAUUAGGUACUUUAGUUUGUAUGAAAAGUUAGUUUAUUGGGAUGUUUAAUAAUUUAAAUUAUAUUUUCAAUUUGAUUUAGUAGAUGAUGUUGCCUUUAAUAAAUUAAAUGUUGCAACUGAUACAGUGAAAUGUUGCAAAAUUGUUAUUCAAUGUUGGAGUAGCAUAUAUAACAAAAACAGAGCUUUUCUCGGUUUCGCAAGUUCUGCAAAUUAAUUCGUCGAAUCAAUUCAUCUCUGCCGAUCUCUGCUGCAACCUGGAGUGCACCAUAGACAGCAUCUUGGGUACAUAAAUCUGGUGAUGUAACAUCAGGUGCGAUUUCUUGACUUCCCAUGAUAACAGAAGUCAUAGGUAGUUCACAGAUUUUGUUAUGAAUCUUGUAUAGUUUUCUGAUGAUAUUUAUAAGUAGUUUGAUAUAAAUUCGAAUGGGAAUGUGAUUAGGAUUUAAUCCUACGAAACUUAGGAUUUAGGAAAACACCUGGAGUUAGAAGAUAGUCCAUGUAGUUUCUUUUGUCCGAAAAGUCCAUGUUUAAGAAUAAUUUUUCUUUAUUAAUUAAUAUAACUUUUAUUUUACUAGUUAAUUAGGUUUUUUUUUUGUUAGAAAUUGUUUAUUAUUUAUAUUAGUAGUAAUAAAUAAAGUAUAGGAAUUUUAUAAUGCAAACUUUGAUAUAGUUUCACUAACAUAAUAAUUUUAUGAUUGAGUUUUGGAGAUACGCUGAAAAUUUAUCGUUUGCAUCUAUUUAUGUUAUUUAAAUUUAGUGAUCUUAGAUUAUGAAAUUAAAUUAUUAUAUUCUCUCAUAAAUUCUAAAACAAAUAUUGCUAAGAACCACACCGUAUCUCGAACUCGAAUGGAUAUAUUUUCUCUAUCAAUCGUAUGACAUUUUUUGUUUUCAAAAUUAAAGUAUCCUGAUAACUCUCAUAUAUCUAUUAAACAUAACUUGAAAUUGAAUAAGAUGAUGAUGAUGAUAAUCAAAAAAUUACACAUUCCUGUAAUAAUAGAUGUUGAUGAUGAUGGUGAUAGUGAUGAUGUAAAUGAUGAUGUUGGUGUUGAUGAUGAUGUUAAUGAUGAUUUUGGUGUUUAUGAUAAUAAUGUCGAUGUUUAUAAUAUUAGUGUUGUUGACAUGUGCAUUUUAUGAUAUAAGUUUUGUAAUUCUCAACAUAGCAAAAUACAUAUUAAUAUGUAAAGGACAUGAUAUGUAAUAACAUUGAUCGCUAUUUUAAUUUUGCUGUAUAAAACUUCUGAGACUUUUAUAUAGGCAUUUUUCAACUUCUCGACAUAUUGAGUCUAGCCUACUUGACAUCCGACUUUCCAAAAUUUCAACAUUUAAUAAAUUGUAUUUUUGAAUAUGAGGCAUGAAUAAAACUUAAACUUCUUUCAAAAACUUAAUUAAGUAGCUUGACAAUUUUUUAACUCGUGGUGGAUAAAAUAAGACGAGUCUUCAAUCAUAUAUAUGCUUUACAAACUUUAUUACAAAUAUAUUUUUUCUUAAAUCAAAACUGAUAUUCAGAACCAAAAAAAAAAAAAACAAUAUCAAUGUCAAGUUCAGCAUAAACUGUCUAUUUUUUUUUUUUGCCAUAUUAUUUUAGUAGGCAGUAGCAUUAAAGUCCGUGCCGUGUCCCCGUCCCCCAAUAUAUACUAUCCAGGGGCGGAGGGAGUAUAUAAGUUAUUGGGUUAAACAAUAGGCCAGUUUUGUUCACACCGGAAUGAAUCAAUGAUCGAACUGUUAUUUCUUCUAAAUCGAAACAGAGCUAAAUUGAAUUAUGGACCAAAAUAAAGCGAAACUGAAUUAGGUCGUUUGGUUCGUGGAACCGUAUCGGGUUGUAAUAAGAAUCGGUUUGGAGUAGUAUGGGGUUAAGGUAUCAAUCCUCAUAUCUUGUGUUUGGCUGAUUGUUGGAAUGAAUUUGUUUAAUUAAAAAUAUAAUCAUGUUGUUGAUUAAAAUAAAUUAUUUUAUUAAAUAAAAAAAUAUAAAUAUUUUUAUUAUCAAUAAUAACAUUUAUUUGUAUAUAUAAAUAUAAAUAUUUUAUUUAUUAUUAUUAAUAUUUUUUCUAAAUAUAAGAAAAAAAUAUUAAUACUCAUACUCAUACCAGUUUCUCAUACCCACCCGUCAACUUGGGUUUUAAAAAGUCAUAAUCCGGAAGUUUCAGGUAUGACCGUAUGGGUAUGAAGUAUGGGUUUGCCUGAUUCCUCGUACCACCAAACGACCCCUUGCGGGGAGUAUGGGUAUAAUUGACCACCGGUCCACCGUAAAUUAGUGUUAUUGGAUUUUAAACUUUGAAUCAGGGGUCCUUUUUGUUCAUUUUUUCAACUCAAGAGUUCAAUUGCUUUGAUUAGUUUGGUUUCUCUCUUUGUUUCAGGGUUCUGAGAGAGAUUCUUGUAGUGUGUUAUAAACUCUCAAGCAUGGAUUUCGUUUUGCUGCUGAUAUCUCAAUGAUGUACAUUAAGACGGUUUCUUGAUUAGCAGAGUUAGCUUAUUGAUUCUGUUUGUGACCGUGUUCACAGGCUCCAGUGCUCUGCAACUGUUUAUACAAGUUGCAGAACCACCCUCUUGGUAAUAUUUCUUUCCCUCAAUUUUUCAUUCAAGCAAUGUUUUGACAUUUUCUUAUGGUUCAAUUGUUUAUUAGAAUUAUAACUCUUGGUAAAGUUUUUUGCUUUUUAGUUAGUGAAUUAUAUAGUAAAAGCUGUGAUUGGAUUCUAUUGGUUUUAUAUUAUGACAUUCAUCUCAAUUGCAUUGUUGUUAAUUUUUUGUGUUGAUUUCUAAGGCUUGAUUACUUUUCCGGAAAAACCAAAGCCUAUUUCUGAUAUAUUCUUGACAAAGAAGAUAUGGAGGAGAUGAAUAUUUUAUAGAAUAUUUUUAACUUGAUCAGAUUUAUGGGCUUGAUGUAUAAUGUUUUCGUAUUCUAUAUAGUAAUUUGUUUUAUCAAGUGGAAACACUCGAAUAAACAUAGGAAAGCUUAAAGGUGUUUAGUCAGGAAGAAAAAAUCAGUAGAAAGAUUGAGUUGGUUGAAAGAAAUUGGAGAAGGGUAUUUGAUGAGUCAAUUCAGUGUCUCCUCCAGCGGCAAAACAAGUGAGAACUUCUUGAACUUCUUGAACUUCAAACACGAGGAAUGACGGGGAAGGCUAUUUGCGCCCGUCUAGUAAUUUUCAGGUACUAAUUUAAUGAUAACUUACAUCUGUAUAGGCAUUUAUUCCUAUAUUUGUUUAUGUCUAGUUCCUGGACAGUGAAUUACAAUACAAACUAGAGUAAACAAAAAUAUUAAUUUUGGAUAUAAUCCAACCAAUGUAACUUUAUAACCAUUUUAAUAGUGUUCAUCUUGUAUAUGUCUUCCCAUAUAUGACAAUAUAGAUUCUUGUUACAGAGAAAGGUUACAUUUCAAUUCGAUAGUUUAUUCUCCAUCUCGAUUAUCUUAUUUCCAUCAAAGUCGUACUGAAAUCUUGGGGUAUGUUGACGACUAGUAUACAAUAUAGGGAAUUUUUUGAUUUUAAAUCAUAUUCAUCCUCAUGUACUUCAAUAUCAUAUUCACUGUAGAACGACAAUACUGGAAAGUGAUCCCCAAACUGUGUUGGUCAUACCACAGUGGUAGUUUCAUAUAUCGUAAAUGAAUUAAACAAAAACAUUGCACUCAAUGCAAUGACAGAAAAUGUUAUUACGAACAUCGGUAGAGUUCAUGUAGCUUGGCAAAACAGAAACUUUCAAAUUGGAGGGGAUCAAGUGACCCCUACAAAUGUUUACGGGACUGAUGCUCUAUAGAUUCCAAAUCUCACUCCAGAUCAAGAAGUCUCAGGUGAUUUGGGUGGAGGAAUAUAUUGAGAUGCCUUGCUGUGACACAUGCAACCUCAAAAGACGAAAAUAUUUCUUAAAUUUUAACAAACAUAAAUUUGGAGCCUCUUCUUUAUUGUUUCUAGGAUGCUCUAAAUUAUUCUAGAGAUGUUUAGAAAAUUCAAAUAAAUAAAUAAAUAAUUACUUCAUAAAUUAAAUUGUGCAAUAUACUAUGCGUAGCGUAAUAUUAAGUUUCUCACUUUGAUGCUUUGUAGUCAAUAAUGUGUCUUGGAAACUACCAUAAUCAAUUUCCAAUUAUAUAGAUUUACGAGUUGCUUCCUGUCACCAAUUUUUGCAAAUUUCGUGAUACUGCUCGACUUCGAACUAUAUGAUUAUGUCAACUUCUCGAUCCAAAGAUAAAUAAUCAAUGAAGGCAUUUUUGAGGAAUCAUUCCUUAAAGGAUCCUCUACAUCCCCAUAUCCCCAUGAUAAGGAUUCAACAUAAUAGUGGUCCAUCUCACCAACACCCUACUUCCAACAACAACCAUAGAGAUGAUAUUAAUUUUUUGUCAAGUACACUAUAGGUGCUAAUAAGAAACAUCUUUUAAAAUCACCUCAGACCCCAAAUGAUUUUGCUUAAAUUUCCAAAUGCUCUAGUCUUAAACCAAAAAUUAAAAAGGAAAUAUUUUCUUUUAUUGCAUCUACGAGGCUUACCUUUGACAUAUAAUUCAACACUUUGUAUUUCUAAUGUAACAAAAGAAAAUGAAUUACCUUAUGCCAAUAAUGCAACACCACUAGGAUAUAAAUGUGACACUAAAUUUUAUUGUGUCAAUGAUGAAGUUCUAAAACUGGUCCUAUUAUAAACACCACAACAUUAGCAGGUCUCCCUACAAGAUUAACCUAAAUAAAUUAAUUCAUUAGCAUAGUAGCUAACAUAGUAGAUAGAAUUUUAUUAUGGUUCAUAUAACAUCCGGGCCCAUAACUGAAUGCAUACCGGACCUAACAACCCACCACAGGUCGGCUCAAAAGUUCUAGCAAAUUGGUAUACAUUAGUUAUUCGCUUAUGCUUAUAAAGGACCGGAAUACUCUUUAUCUUAUCAAUGUGGAAUGUUACAAACACCCCUCUUAUAUGCUUGACAUCCUCGUCGAGCCCAUAAUCAAACUUACGAAACCCGUGCAGUGCCUUUGCACUUCCGACCGGGUAGAGCUCUGAUGCCAUUUAUAACAUCCGAGCCCAUAACUGAAUGCAUACUGAACCGAACAACCCACCACAGCUACUUACUUGAUUUAUCAACCAACUCUAUUUAUAAUGUACUUAACUACUAUACUAAUGAAUUAAUUAGUUUAAGUUUAUCAUGUAGAGGGACAUGCUGAUGUUGUGGUAUUUGUAAUGGGACUAAUUUUAAAGUUUCAUGUUUGAGUCAACAAAAUUUAGCGCAACAUUUUUAUCCUAAGGGUGCAUGUCGCAUUAUGUGCAUAAUGUAAUUUGUUUCCCUUUGUUGCAUUUGACAUACAAAUUGUUGCAUCAUAUGUUUAAAAGUAAGCCUCGUAUAUGCAAUACAAAAGAAUAUUGUCUUUUUUACUUAUUGGUCUAAGACGAGAGCAUUUGGGAAUUUAAUCAAUAUUAUUUGGGGUUUGAGGUAAAUUUAAAAAAAUAUUUCUUCUUAGCAUUUAUAGUGUACUUGACCAUAAUGAAUAUCAAUCAUCUUUUGACCGAGAACUUGGCGUAACCGUAUAGUUCAAAGUCGAGCAGUACCACAAAAUUUUCAAUAAUCAGUGAAAUGGAAGCAACUCGCUAAGCUAUAAUAGGAAGUUGAUCAUGACUUGUGAUUGUUUCAAAGAUAAGUUAUUGACUACAAAGCAUCAACAUGGGCAUCUUAAUAUUAGGCUAGGGAUAGUAUAUUGCGCUAUUUAAUUUAUGACACAUUUAUGUCAUUUUUUUGGCUUAAUUUUCUGAACUACUCUAGAAUAAUUUAGAGCAUCCUUGAAUGUUCUUGUGUAUUGUAGUAUUUAUGGGAUGCGUGUGAAAAGGUUUAGCAUUUUGUCGUAAUAUAAUUAUAUAAUAUCUAAGAUAUAUAUCUAUAGUUAACCCCUCCGGAACCUUCCUUAGUGUUGAACAUUCGUCAGGAAUCUAGAUGCUUCCUAACAGGUGUAUAGAUUGAAGAGCUCCCGGCAACUAAUAAAGUUAUAAUCUCAUACACAUACACUUGUUCACAUUCACAGAAUUUCUCUUAUAUGUAUCCUAUGUUACUUAGACUCGGGUGCGGAGUGUCGGAUACGACACAUAUCCAAGUGUCGGAUUCGAUAUUUUUCAAAAAUUAGGACACGGGGACACUGUCCGGAUUUUGGACACGGGUACGGGGACACGGUAUAAUAUAAAUUAAUUAAAUAAUUUUAUAUUAUUAAAUUGAUAUUGUUUUUUUAUUUUUAAUUAUUAUUUCAAGAAAGAAAAAAUGAACUGAUAAAUUUUUUUAACAAAAAUAAACAUUGACUGAAGAUGUGAGGUUAUAUAUAACUUUAAAUAUACACAUAUACUUCCACUGUGUCUUUUUUCUUUUCUUAUUUGCAAUGUCGGGACUGUUCAUAACAGGAUUCGUAUUCACGAGUACUUUAAUACGGUGAAGUUUUUAUAUUUAAUAUCAAUACGAAACUAAAGAUAUUAACGAUCAAAAGUGUGUAUUGGCAAACGUGUCAAAGACAAAUAGGAAAAGUAUUAAGAGACGGAGGGAGUAAUAUAAAUGACUAUACUUCAGUGUUAUUAAAGACAGCUGUACACCUAUCCACCUAACACAGCUGUACACCUAUCCACCUAACCACAAAUGAAUGUGGACCACAUGAUGUCCAAGCACAGUCCUUUCUUAUGCCUUAUCAUCUUCUUUUCUUUUUUCUCUUUCAUCUGCCUCAUCGUCCUCAUAUCAUCUAUCUAUUUCAUCGUCUUCUUCUAUAAUCAUCUUCUUCCCUUUUUAUUCUUCAUCUUCUCUCUUCUUCCCUUUUUAUUCUUCUGUUACACCCCCUUUAAAUUUUCCGGCGACCUUCAUAUUUUUCCGGCGCUAGAAAAGAAGUGUCGGUUUUGCAUAUGGUGAAUCCACCCUGUAUCCUGCGUCGUGUCGGGUCGACACGGAUACGGCCGCCGGAAGUGCCGAGUCGGAGUAACACAGUAUGUAUAUCAAUCUUCAAUAUCAAAGGUGGAUUGCUUUCACAAACAAUGAAGAAAAUGCUUCAAAUUUACAACACCUCCCGAGUCAUCAGACUAAUUUGGCUGGAAGGUAUCCUCCGCGAUUUUCUUGAUCUUCUCCUGAGAUUAAUUAUAAUCAUUUCUGGUAAUUUUAUUGGACAAGGCUUCCCAUGCUUUAUACAAUGGUCCAUGUGAUUCAUUCUUUAUACAAUAGUCCAUGUGAUUCUGGUAAUCAUUGGAUAGAGACAAGUUUCCCCCAUUUUCUUCUUUCAGUCCACACCUAGGGACACACUGACAUUUCACUCCACAAACUCCCCUCACUCCACACGCUCACCUCACUCUCUAAAACUCACCUUUGCUUAAACUCACUAGCGAUCAGGUAAAAUCGGGGAACCUCUCCCCUCAAACUUACCUCUCAAUUGAUGAGGUUUAGUUUGAGGUCUUUAAUUGGGGAUUCGAUUGACAGCUUCUUCAUUCCGCGGAACUAGGGCUUCCGGUUUAUAGUUCCUUUAAAUUUGUUUACUAGCUUCUUCAUUUUUUUUCACUAUAAUGUUUUUAGUUGUGUCUUUAUUUUUCUCAGGGCUUGGAUUGAAUUGGGGCUUUACUGGAACUAGAGCUUCAACAGCUCUUAACUUUAAGAGGCGCUUCGGUUUUCUUUGAUCUAAGGUACAAUCCGCUGUCAUCCUUAUAUUUUUACUUUAAAUGCAUGCUUUGUUUUUGAUUUUAUGUGCAAAUACAUGUCUUUGACUCUUUGUUGUGAUAUGUGUUCCUAUGUUAUGUAAAGCAUCCCCCCCCCCCUCUCCCCGUCUCCCUCUGUCUCUCCCUCUCUCCAUCCCUCUGUCCCCUCUGUCUCUCCCCCUCUGAGAGUCUAUGUCAUGUUAGUUUAUAUUAGCUUAUGUUAGUUUAUGUUAGUGGAUGUUAGUGUAUGGUUGUUCCUGUAUAUCACAGUAACGAUUUAAUUAUUUGCUUAAAUUUACACAAAAGCGUCUUUACCUGUUCUAAGCUUUUGGACCAGUCAUGCUCGGUUGAAAUGACAGUGAAGUGAACACUUCCUUGUUCAAUAGAAUACCAUUGCUUAUCCUUUGCAGACAUUCUCCUCCUGAGUCUGUGAUCCAGUGCCUAAAAUCCACUGUUAAACUAUCCAUGAUUAAUGUAUGUGUCCUAUAAUUCUACAAUCAUUAUUCAGUAAUCAUUUCCAUCUGAUAUCAAAUCUUGAUUUUCUAUAAAGGUAGAAACUAGAUAAUGACCAUAGCAUCGAAACUUCCUUGUGAAAUUACUUUCCUCUUUUUAUAAUUAAAAUACCAUGUAGCUAAGCUUAUCAAAAUUAUUCAUUUCUGUAUAGUUAUAUUCAAUAGGACUACAGGCCUAACAUGAAAACCAUAUCAUCUAGUAUAAAUUCUGGUGGUUUAGAGCUAUUGAGGAUUAGCCUCUGGUGAAACAUCUACUUCUAGUGAGAGUACUUGUGCUUAGUAAAGCAAUGUUCUAUGCAGCAACUAUUACGGAACUUCUAUUGCUGACUACCACCGGAGCUGCACAAAAUGUCCGUAUGAUCUAUGCAUCGCUUGUUGUCGGGACUUGCGUGCUGGCUCUUUGCAUGCAGGUCAUCUGGGAAGCAUUAACCAAUAUAAAAACCUCAGGGUGGGCUAUUUACAUGGUGAAACAUGUAAACCUCGUAGCAAUAGAACUGUGGGCACAUCUACUGAAACAUCCCCUGAAGGCAAGACCUGAAUGGAGACCUAACAAGGAUGGUAG
rnacentral:lncRNA from 1 species